CUACUUUUAAAUCAUUUGACCAAUUUAUUAAUGCUACACGAUUGCUCAAGCUAUACAAUGCUCUUAACUUAUAUUAUUGUUUACAUGUAUUACCAAUGUUAUUUCAACUGAUCGGGCGGAGCUUACGUUUUAAUUUGCAUGAGGACAGUCGAUUUGAAAAUAUGUGUGAUUACGAUGAUUGCCGUUAUAGUUAUUACUGAUUUCUAAUCACCUAUCAUUGACCUCAAAGGAAUUUACAAAAGAAUGACUGGGCAAUGCAUUGAUGAGUUUAUCCUAAAACACCUAUCUAUAGAUGGACUGGUUUAUUAUGAUCGAUCAUGAGCAAACUGGAUAAACUCCGC
rnacentral:lncRNA from 1 species